rnacentral:tRNA from 1 species
GUCCGGAUGGUGGAAUUGGUAGACAUGCUACUUUGAGGGGGUAGUGACCGCAAGGUCGUGCAAGUUCGAGUCUUGUUCCGGACA